rnacentral:snRNA from 1 species
AAAAAUUUCAUUUCAAAUGGCU